rnacentral:lncRNA from 1 species
UAAAAUAGAUUUUUAAGCGAUUUUUAAUUCAACUAGAUUUUCACCCGUGCGAUGCACGGCUAAUAUAAUAAUAUAGAAUAAUAAAAAUUAUUAUGUGAUGAUAACAAAAAGAUUUUCUAAUUAAUUUUAUAUUUUUUAACAAAUAAAAAAAUAUACUAUCAAUCUUAAUUAUAGUACAUAUUAAAGUACACAAGCUAGAGAAAAAAAAAAUUGGACCAAAGUAAUAUUCAACUAAAAUGCAAAAUUCAAUCAUGCUCUAUUAUCUAUGAAUUGGUAUGCAAAAUAAUUUACAUUUACAUAUUGAUGUGCGAAAUAAAAUGAUAACUAAAAUUGAUAUGAAAAAUUAUAAAUGGCAUUAAUAUUUAAGCAUAUAAUGAGAUCAACUAAACUUUCAUAUUUGACCCAAAUUAGAGUAAGCACACAUAUAUUAUGUUCCUACUGUCGCUUUUAAGAUUCAAAAAUAUAUAGAUGUUGGUUUUCAAGAAAAUAUAAAGAAAAAAAAUUUUGUUGCAUGAAGAUGAAAAAUUACAUGAGUGACAGAAGGAAAAAAAAUUACGAAAUAAAAAUUACAGAAGUGACAGUAGGGAAAUAAUAUGUUCUAUUUUAAAGCAUCAAUAUUUAAGAGCGAAGAAAAUUACAGGAGUGAUGUGAGUUUUAAAUUUUUUCCUCUUUCCAAAAAUGCCUCUAUCCUUUUUUACUAAUAUUUUUAUGUCCAAAAAUUUUCAACCAAUCAUUUUAAAUAAUUAACUAAGUAAUAAUUUAUUCUCAAAUAAAGAUAAAUAUUUUUCCUUCUACGCGUAAUAUCCGCACCGCUAAUUCUUUCGCAACAUAAUAUCCAUAAAUUUCUUAAAUAUCUCAACAUAAUUAUAGGUGACUUUGAAAUAAAAUUUCCUUCAUUAUAUGUGAUUUUUAAUAAUAUAGUAAAAGAUAUUAAUUUUUGUGAAAAUAAAAAUAUCAAUUAAUUUUUGUGAUAAUAUUAUCCUCGCAUUUAUAUCCUAUUUUCUAUCUUUUUAUUUUAUAUUUGAACUUAACACGUAGAUUAUUUUUCCUAAAGCAGUAAUAUCCGCACCCGCCAAUUCUUUGGCGUGAAUUUCUCAAAUAUCUCAACAUAAUUAUAUGUGACUUUGAAAUAAAAUUAGAUUUUUAAUAAUAUUGUAAAAGAUACUAUUUUCUUAAAAAAUUUAAUUUUAAUUUUUCUAAAGUAGUCAUAUUCUCUAAAAUAGAAAAUCUAUAUUUGAGCUUAACACGUAGAUUUUCUAUAUAGUAAAAGAUAUUAUUUUAUAAUUUUAAAUAAUUAAUUAUCUGUCAAUACGAAAUUUGAGUUUGCAACAGAUUAUUUUCACUGCGAAAAAAUAAUUCGCAACAGAUUAUUGCGUAUUUAAUUUUAAAUAAUUAAUUAAACAAAUAAUUUUAAAUAAUUCGUAACCAAAUAUCCAUAUUUGAGUUUGACACGUGGCAAGCAUAUAGAAAGCCACGUGUCAGCUUCUCACAUAGGGUUCAUUACACGUGGCAAGCAUAUAGAAAUAUCCAUAUUUGAGUUUGACACGUGGCAAGCAUAUAGAAAGCCACGUGUCAGCUUCUCACAUAGGGUUCAUUAAGGGUUCUACUUUUAUAUAUAGUAAUAGAUUCCACAUGUAGCUUCUACUCCUUCAGAAAGUAUUUUUAAGUGAUUUGACAUUGAUAUUUAGGCCCAAUUUCGCUUAGUUUUUUAGAAAUUUUUGGCUCAGAAUUAUUUUUGGGCUCAGUAGAGCAUUUGACAACGGGAGUUGCAAAAUCUGAUUCUGAUUUCAGAAUUAGAAAACUGAUUUUGAAGGCCCCAGAAUUAAUUAGAAGCAGAAAAAAGCUACUUCUUGAAAUCUGAUUCUGAUUUCGGACUCAAACUUCAAAUUUUUAUUUUUAUUUUAGAUUUGCUGUUUAAAUUUAAAUUUAAUUCUAAUUUUUUAAAUUUUAAAUUCAUAUUUAAAUUUUUAAAUUUUAACUUUUCAAAUCUAAAAUUUAAAAUUUAUAUUUUAAACUUUAAAUUUUAAAUUCUAAUUUUAAAGUUCAAAUCUCAAAUUUUAGAUUUUAAAAUUUCAAAUUUCAAAUUUCAAAUUUAAGAUAAAAUUUAAAAUUUGACAUUUUAUAUUUUAAGAUUUAAAUUUAAAAUUUUAAAAAUUUAAAAUUUAAANUUAAAUUUUGUACAAUUUUAAAAUUUUGAAAUUUUAAUUUUAAUUCAAAUUUAAAUUUAAAUUUUAAAUUAUUUUAAAAUAAAAUUUAAUAAAAAUAUUACUUUAUGGAAACAUCAAAAAAAUUUUGCCAAUUAGCUUUACAAAAUUAUUUCAGAAAAAUCAAUUUUAUCUAAACUCAGCCAACCGUUUUACAGCUUUUAACUAAAGUUACUUCUCCAAACCAAAAAUCACCUUUUUAGAAAUCACUCAUCCAGAAUU